rnacentral:tRNA from 1 species
GCCUUCGUGGUGUAAUGGUCAGCACAUUGAGCCGGUAAUUCAGAGGUCCGCGGUUCGAUCCCCGGCGAAGGCA